ensembl:snRNA Gm22984 predicted gene, 22984
AUCAUCUCUUCUGGGCCUUUUGGCUAAGACCAAGUAUAGUAUCUGUUCUUAUCAGUUUAAUAUCUGACACAUCCUCUAUCCGAGGACAAUAUAUUAAAUGGAUUUUUGGAGUUAGGAAAAAUAAA